rnacentral:rRNA from 1 species
GUGUCAGCCGCCGCGGUAACACGUAGGAGACAAGCGUUAUCCGGAUUUACUGGGCGUAAAGCGCGUGCAGGCGGUUUGGAAAGUUGGAUGUGAAAGCUCCCGGCUUAACUGGGAGAGGUCAUUCAAAACUUCCAGACUCGAGAGUGGUAGAGGAAGGUGGAAUUCCGGGUGUAGUGGUGAAAUGCGUAGAUAUCCGGAGGAACACCAGUGGCGAAAGCGGCCUUCUGGACCAUUUCUGACGCUCAGACGCGAAAGCUAGGGUAGCAAACGGGAUUAGAAACCCGGGUAGUCC